GCAUUUUCUUCAUCAAACUGACUGAACCAACCAGUUGGUCUGGUACUACCGGGAUCAGGUCCAUGAAAUCUUUCUGAAGGUUUCUUCUCUUUGCUCGUUGUGACAACCUAAAAUAUCUCCAGAUGUUGCCAACUGUUCCCUGGGAAGCAAAUUCCUCCCAUUUGCGAACGCUUGGCUUAGAGUUUCCGAAGACCUGGUGAUUAUUCUCUCUUGGUCACGGCCAGACUGGACUCAGUCUGUGCGAGGCUGGGUUCUCUUCAUCUACUUUAAUGAAAAUGACCCGUCACAACUGAUGAAACGCAGAGGC